UAGGGAAUCUUCCGCAAUGGACGCAAGUCUGACGGAGCAACGCCGCGUGAGUGAAGAAGGAUUUCGGUUCGUAAAACUCUGUUGUUAGAGAAGAACAGCGCAUAGAGUAACUGUUAUGCGUGUGACGGUAUCUAACCAGAAAGCCACGGCUAACUACGUGCCAGCAGCCGCGGUAAUACGUAGGUGGCAAGCGUUGUCCGGAUUUAUUGGGCGUAAAGCGAGCGCAGGCGGUCAAUUAAGUCUGAUGUGAAAGCCCCCGGCUCAACCGGGGAGGGUCAUUGGAAACUGGUUGACUUGAGUGCAGAAGAGGAGGGUGGAAUUCCAUGUGUAGCGGUGAAAUGCGUAGAUAUAUGGAGGAACACCGGUGGCGAAGGCAACUCUCUGGUCUGUAACUGACGCUGAGGCUCGAAAGCGUGGGUAGCAAACAGG
rnacentral:rRNA from 1 species